rnacentral:lncRNA from 1 species
CAGCCUGUUCUGCACCGAACAGACAGGAGGAAUGUGGCUUCAUGGGUCUUCUUUCCUGGUUUGGCCUCCUCAGUGGGAUCGAGACAGACGUGGGUCUUCCUCCUCUCUCUGGCUGUCCUGCUCAGGUGACCUCUGAACCUGCCCUCUGAGACUCACCUCCUCUGGGGCCCUGUGUCUCUAGCCCUCUGAGGCUCCCCUCUCCUCUCUGCUGAGGAAUUUGCUGGAGGAGAGGAGCAGCUGUGGGACCUGAGGACGCAGCUGGCCUUGCUGUCUAGGGCCAGGGCUGCUGUCAGCUGGGGUGGCCUCCAGCCCUGCCCAUCCCCCAGGCCCCUGCACCUCUGCUCUGCACCCUGCAGAGGAGCAGCCUGACUGCAGGCACCAUGUCCCAGGCUGCCGCAGUCUGGCUGGGCACAAUC